AUUGAAAUUGCAUUCAGACUAUCAAUUUUAGGGACAUCGUGGAACAUAAACUCAAUAGGGACAUAUAUUCAAUUUUGCAUCUAAAGCAUCGAGGGUCAUCUACUCCAAUUACAUGUGAAGUUAUGAAGCAUUCACGUUGAAAUGACAUUCAGACUAUAAAUUUUAGGGACAUCGUGGGACAUAAACUCAAUUAAGGGACAUAUAUU
rnacentral:lncRNA from 1 species